rnacentral:rRNA from 1 species
GAUGAACGCUGGCGGCGUGCUUAACACAUGCAAGUCGAACGGUGAAGCAGAGCUUGCUCUGUGGAUCAGUGGCGAACGGGUGAGUAACACGUGAGCAACCUGCCCCUGACUCUGGGAUAAGCGCUGGAAACGGCGUCUAAUACUGGAUAUGAGCUGCGACCGCAUGGUCAGCAGUUGGAAAGAUUUUUCGGUCUGGGAUGGGCUCACGGCCUAUCAGCUUGUUGGUGAGGUAAUGGCUCACCAAGGCGUCGACGGGUAGCCGGCCUGAGAGGGUGACCGGCCACACUGGGACUGAGACACGGCCCAGACUCCUACGGGAGGCAGCAGUGGGGAAUAUUGCACAAUGGGCGAAAGCCUGAUGCAGCAACGCCGCGUGAGGGAUGACGGCCUUCGGGUCGUAAACCUCUUUUAGCAGGGAAGAAGCGAAAGUGACGGUACCUGCAGAAAAAGCGCCGGCUAACUACGUG